rfam:Felis catus isolate Cinnamon breed Abyssinian chromosome B4, whole genome shotgun sequence.
GCCUGGCUGGCUCAGUGGGUUGAGCGUGCGACUCUUGAUCUCAGGGUCAUGAGUUCAAACCCCGUGUUGGGUG